rnacentral:ncRNA from 3 species
AGACAGCAGGACGGUGGUCAUGGA